rnacentral:rRNA from 1 species
GAAGAGAGAGUUCAAGAGUACGUGAAACCGUCUGGGAGUAAACGGGUGGUUCCCGAAAGUGCGAAAGGGGAGAUUCAGGUCUCGCCGCGCGCCGGUCCGCUCCCGCGACAAUGGAUGGCGUUCUCGCGGCCGUGGGGCGACCCUCGGUCCGGGANNNGCGCCACCCCGCGGGCGCGGUCUUGCCCCGGCGCCGGAGUGACGCACUUCUCCCCCGGUAGAACGUCGCGAUCCGUCGGUCGCCGGCCUAAGGCCCCGGGUGGAGCCGAGCGCGGUUUUUCCGCGCCCGACCCCGGGGACCCGGGCCGGGUGUCCGACGGUAUGAAGAGAGGAAGGAGUCGGCGCGCCUCUUUGGUUUGGGCGUCCGCCCCUCCGCAAGCGCCCGCGGGAGUCGGAGGCUCCGGGCCCGGCCCGGUCUUCUUCUUUUGCGGGGCUGUUUGCGAUCCGGAGGUGUGCUCGGAG